rnacentral:rRNA from 1 species
AAUGAACGCUGGCGGCGUGGAUUAGGCAUGCGAGUCGAACGAACCAGCAAUGGUUAGUGGCGGAAGGGAGAGUAAUGCGUGGGAAUCUGCCCCUGGGACUGGGAUAGCUACGGGAAACUGUAGGUAAUACCAGAUAAUAUCUCUGGAUCAAAGGCGCGAACCGCCUGGGGAUGAGCCCGCGUGCUAUUAGGUAGUUGGUAGGGUAACGGCCUACCAAGCCAUAGAUGGCUAGCAGGUGUGAGAGCACGACCUGCCUCACUGGGACUGAGACACUGCCCAGACACCUACGGGUGGCUGCAGUCGAGAAUCUUCGGCAAUGAGCGCAAGCUUGACCGAGCGACGCCGCGUGCGGGAUGGAGGCCUUCGGGUUGUAAACCGCUUUUCGAGAGGAUGAAGUGUCGGAGCACAUCCGAUUUGACAUAUUCUCGGAAUAAGUACGGGCUAAGUUCGUGCCAGCAGCCGCCGUAACAC